rnacentral:rRNA from 1 species
UACGGAGGGUGCAAGCGUUAAUCGGAAUUACUGGGCGUAAAGCGUGCGUAGGUGGUUUGUUAAGUCUGUUGUGAAAUCCCCGGGCUCAACCUGGGAAUGGCAAUGGAUACUGGCAAGCUAGAGUGUGAUAGAGGAUGGUGGAAUUCCCGGUGUAGCGGUGAAAUGCGUAGAGAUCGGGAGGAACAUCAGUGGCGAAGGCGGCCAUCUGGAUCAACACUGACGCUGAGGCACGAAAGCGUGGGGAGCAAACAGG